UACGGGGGGGGCAAGCGUUGUUCGGAAUUACUGGGCGUAAAGGGCGUGUAGGUGGCCAACUAAGUCCGACGUGAAAUCCCCUCGGCUUAACCGGUAGGACGCUCGAUGUGAUGGCUUGAAUUCGGGAGAGGGAUGCGGAAUUCCAGGUGUAGCGGUGAAAUGCGUAGAUAAUCUGGAGGAACACCGGUGGCGAAGGCGGCAUCCUGGACCAAUACUGACACUGAAAAGCGAAAGCCAGGGGAGCAAACGGG
rnacentral:rRNA from 1 species